UACGGAGGGUGCAAGCGUUGUCCGGAUUUAUUGGGUUUAAAGGGUGCGUAGGCGGCCCGGUAAGUCAGUGGUGAAAGCCUCCAGCUCAACUGGAGAACUGCCAUUGAUACUGCCGGGCUUGAGUACAGACGAGGUUGGCGGAAUUGAUUGUGUAGCGGUGAAAUGCAUAGAUACAAUCAAAGAACUCCGAUUGCGUAGGCAGCUAACUAGGCUGUAACUGACGCUGAGGCACGAAAAGCGUGGGGAGC
rnacentral:rRNA from 1 species